UCGUGAUUGGCUCAUGAAUGAGCAGAUACGUGAAACACGCUGCACAUAGCCAUAUGGAGAAAGGUGAGUGUUGAUCAUUUGUUUGGUACCUAUUCCCCCAAGAGGGGUGCCAGUGUCCUGAUGCUGACCAGUGCCACCGGUUCCGCCACUUGCUUCCUGCUGGAGCCUUAGCACCAACUGGAUGAGGGGACUCCUCUCUGUGUUGAAUUCCCGGCUGUCUAAGGCUUUGAAGUGGAGAGUGGUGUCAAACUACAAGACCGCCAGCAUGUAAACAAGGCCUUGUUUGUCCUUGUUUGGCUACUCACCACUCUUCUACUUCCUGAAGAGGCUGAAGCAUGCUGGCCUUGACAUCUCAGUCCUUGCUUCCAUUAACAGCUGUGUUAUGGUCUACUGCAAUGGGUGGAUAAGGAGGGCAAAUGGCAGGCAGUGUGCUGUGAGGACUGCUGCCCUGAUUCAUACGGAAGAACCAAGCCCGCAAACACUUGACAUUUACUGUCAAAGCUACCAUCAGAGCACCUCUCCCUACCCUGCAGGACAUCUAUACCCGAAGAGUGCAACAAGGGCCCAGAAUAUUUCAAGAGACAUUUCACACCCUGACCAUGGACUGUUUAAACCACUGAGGCCAAGCGUACAUCUCUGUUUCCACAUGGCUAAAACAGACUGAGGAGAAGUUUGUUUCCUCAAGCCAUCCGCAUCCCGAACACACAUAACUCUUUAAACUACAUUACAUAGACUUGCCAUACUGCACUUACAGUACACACACUGCACUUUGUACCCCCUGGAUUAUUCUGUGUCAAAUCAGUAUCUCAGGUUUUGCUAAAAUAAUGUCUAUAUAUACAGUAGAAUGGUUCCCAAAACCAAGGCCCGUGAAAUAUUUCUGUUCAAAUCCUAUAUCUUCAUAUUAUUACGGCAGGCUCGUUUUCGGCAAGGUCCUAUAUUUGGGAAAAGUGCAUAAAUCAGUAACAUUAAGGGUAUGAAUGUCAGUUUGUGCAUAUUUACAUAUUAUGUGUUAUUAAUGCCAAUGUUUUCAAUAUGUAAUGGGCUUGAAGAUUUUAAAGGUUAAGCAAGGGAAGGGUGUGUUUUUUGGUAAUUUUCAUAGGAUUAAAAUGGUAUGUAGAAUAGCUAGUAGGCACUUAUGUGAACAGGUAUGUGAACACAGCUAAGAGUAUGGGCAUUUAGUGUACAAGGUGCCAAUGUUGUACCGUAGAUACAGUCAAAAUCAUUGUUUUACCUCAGGGUCAAGAAUGAAAAGACAUGGAUAUACAAUGGAACCAAGUAAGUGUAUUUAUCAACGAAUGAAACAUGGUACAUCAUUGGCACUUUAUACAUGAAAUUAUCAUGCCCAAAGAUGGCCUCCACAAUAAGGAAUUUCUGAGAGUAAAACGGAUACAAAAUCAAUUGUGAAAAAAAUGUAGGCCUACUGUAUGAAAUUAUAAAAUUUAGUACAAAUAUUUGAUUUAAAGGUAGACAAACCUUGAGUUUAAAAAUCUGAAGCACAGCAACCAUUUUCCUGGAUUUUGUCUGAUUUGACACAGAAUGACCCUUCCUUAUUGUUUGAUUAUUUCUAAAUACUUUCUUUAUCCUAUACACCUCUGCACAGGAAAGUUGUGCCGCUAUAAUGCCAGUUCUCUGUAUGUGACAAUUUCUUGAAUCCUUCACAGAAGGCUCAAUUGUGUAUUGUGAUAUUUUGUUAUUGUCUACAGAAAUAAAAAUACUUGU